GCUGGGCAUGGUGGUGGGUGCCUGUAGUCCCAGCUAUUCAGGAGGCUGAGGCUGGAGGAUCUCUUGAGUCCAGGAGUUCUGGGCUGUAGUGCACUAUGCCGAUCAGGUGUCCACACUAAGUUCAGCAUCAAUAUGGUGACCUCCCAGGAGUGGGGGACCACCAGGUUGCCUAAGAAGGGGUGAACCGGCCCAGGUCAGAAAUGGAGCAGGUCAAAACUCCAGUGCUGAUCAGUAGUGGGAUUGUGCCUGUGAAUAGCUAUUGCACUCCAGCCUGGGCAACAUAAUGAGACCCUGUCUCU
rnacentral:SRP_RNA from 1 species